UACGUAGGGGGCAAGCGUUGUCCGGAAUCAUUGGGCGUAAAGCGCGUGUAGGCGGCUCGAUAAGUCUGCUGUGAAAGUCCAAGGCUCAACCUUGGGAUGCCGGUGGAUACUGUCGAGCUCGAGUCCGGAAGAGGAGUGUGGAAUUCCUGGUGUAGCGGUGAAAUGCGCAGAUAUCAGGAGGAACACCAAUGGCGAAGGCAGCACUCUGGGACGUGACUGACGCUGAGACGCGAAAGCGUGGGGAGCAAACAGG
rnacentral:rRNA from 1 species